rnacentral:rRNA from 1 species
ACAGGGAUUGCCCUAGUAACGGCGAGUGAAGCGGCAACAGCUCAAAUUUGAAAUCUGGCGUCUUUGGCGUCCGAGUUGUAAUUUGCAGAGGGCGCUUUGGCAUCGGCAGCGGUCCAAGUUCCUUGGAACAGGACGUCACAGAGGGUGAGAAUCCCGUACGUGAUCGCUAGCCUUUACCGUGUAAAGCCCCUUCGACGAGUCGAGUUGUUUGGGAAUGCAGCUCUAAAUGGGAGGUAAAUUUCUUCUAAAGCUAAAUACUGGCCAGAGACCGAUAGCGCACAAGUAGAGUGAUCGAAAGAUGAAAAGCACUUUGGAAAGAGAGUUAAAAAGCACGUGAAAUUGUUGAAAGGGAAGCGCUUGCAGCCAGACUUGCCUGUAGUUGCUCAUCCGGGUUUCUACCCGGUGCACUCUUCUAUAGGCAGGCCAGCAUCAGUUUGGGCGGUUGGAUAAAGGUCUCUGUCAUGUACCUCUCUUCGGGGAGAACUUAUAGGGGAGACGACAUGCAACCAGCCCGGACUGAGGUCCGCGCAUCUGCUAGGAUGCUGGCGUAAUGGCUGUAAGCGGCCCGUCUUGAAACACGGACCAAGGAGUCUAACAUCUAUGCGAGUGUUUGGGUGUCAAGCCCGAACGCGUAAUGAAAGUGAACGGAGGUGGGAACCUUUCGGGGUGCACCAUCGACCGAUCCUGAUGUCUUCGGAUGGAUUUGAGUAAGAGCAUAGCUGUUGGGACCCGAAAGAUGGUGAACUAUGCUUGAAUAGGGUGAAGCCAGAGGAAACUCUGGUGGAGGCUCGCAGCGGUUCUGACGUGCAAAUCGAUCGUCAAAUUUGGGCAUAGGGGCGAAAGACUAAUCGAACUAUCUAGUAGCUGGUUCCUGCCGAA